rnacentral:rRNA from 1 species
GAUUUACUUCGGUAAUGACGUUGGGAAAGCGAGCGGCGGAUGGGUGAGUAACACGUGGGGAACCUGCCCCUAAGUCUGGGAUACCAUUUGGAAACAGGUGCUAAUACCGGAUAAUAAAGCAGAUCGCAUGAUCAGCUUUUGAAAGGCGGCGUAAGCUGUCGCUAAGGGAUGGCCCCGCGGUGCAUUAGCUAGUUGGUAAGGUAACGGCUUACCAAGGCGACGAUGCAUAGCCGAGUUGAGAGACUGAUCGGCCACAUUGGGACUGAGACACGGCCCAAACUCCUACGGGAGGCAGCAGUAGGGAAUCUUCCACAAUGGACGCAAGUCUGAUGGAGCAACGCCGCGUGAGUGAAGAAGGUUUUCGGAUCGUAAAGCUCUGUUGUUGGUGAAGAAGGAUAGAGGUAGUAACUGGCCUUUAUUUGACGGUAAUCAACCAGAAAGUCACGGCUAACUACGUGCCAGCAGCCGCGGUAAUACGUAGGUGGCAAGCGUUGUCCGGAUUUAUUGGGCGUAAAGCGAGCGCAGGCGGAAAAAUAAGUCUAAUGUGAAAGCCCUCGGCUUAACGGAGGAACUGCAUCGGAAACUGUUUUUCUUGAGUGCAGAAGAGGAGAGUGGAACUCCAUGUGUAGCGGUGGAAUGCGUAGAUAUAUGGAAGAA